AUCGAGGCCAGAGUCACGUGUGGGUAUCGGCUAUUGCCUUAGUGUUCUGGAGUCCUCGAAGAACAACUGCUGACCUCAUUCACUGCCUCUGGUUCCCCUAGGGCACGGCCAGUCACCAGGUUAGUGACAUGC